GGGGUGGGAAGAGAGGGAGGGAGGAGAAAGGACGGAAACAUGAAUAUAUUGUCUUCAUUGGUAAUGAAAUCUAUACAUCCAUUAAAGAUUUUCUUGAAGUCUUACAUGCUAAAUUAUAAACUUUGCUAUGUACUUGCCUUUGACUAUGGACAAUACUGUCUUUCAGGGAGCUUAAGUGAGCUGAAUGCCAGGGCCAGGAGCAGGGGAGCCUUCAUGGACAGUUAUACCCCCUGCUAGUGCCCACAUACCUAGCACCUUCUCAGCAUAGAAGAUGUUCCUGAAGCUGAUUUAACUCAAUCCCUUCUCCAGAAUGGGCACAUCUUUAUGCAGAGGAGGGCAAUGUGGUGGAAGGAGCAGACAUUCUGCAGGUAGGUAUACCCCCAUUUACUGCAUUUAUGAUUACUGGACACUUGCUCAACCAUUCAGAACCUUGGUUUAUCUGUAAAAUAGGAUGAUAAUAACUUGUUCCCAGCAUUCUCGUUAAUGGUUUAAAUGAAACAGUGUCUUCCUGUGUGCCUAGAGCAGGUAGUGAUCAGUGGUCUUAGCCCCUUUUUACUUAACAAGAAAAAUAAAGCAAAUUGUAAACAUUUAAAGACCCUAAAG
rnacentral:lncRNA from 12 species